AUUUACAUAUACAUGCCCACUUUUGCUAAUGAUGUCCAAUUUGCAAAGAGACAACAAGGUGUGGUCCGCCCCCAGCUGCACUGUGUUGUGAACAUGUUGUCAAGCCUGCAACGCAUGGACACUUGCUCAGCAUAGUGAAAAUUGGCUUCCAUAAACAGUGUCGUGGGAACCCCCCUACCAUAUCAGGAGCAGAAGCUGAGGCAGUACGUGGCCAGGCACCAGUCCCACUUCAGAUGUUGUUAGGGAGGAGAAAGGGCGACUCGGAGGGAACGGGAACGUGUGCAGAGCUGGAGGAGUCUACACUACAGAGGGAGGAAGGAGGAGGAGGAUGCUGCUGAUGAGAAAAUGGCCGCCCUGCUCCAUCAAUGUUCCCACACCAUUUGUGACCCUGAGACUGAAGCCAUCUCUCAGGAGAGCGGCUGGCUGUUCGCAUCAGCAGUGUCAUUUAUUAUCUACGAAUAUCUCCCUGACGUAGGCAACCAAAACAAAAACGCCAGGACAAACAUCAAGUAUGCCCUAAUCGAUGACAACGGCACUCCACUGGGGUUUAAACGUCUUUUUUUUUUAGCUUAGAUUGGUUCCUUAAGGAGGCAAGUAAAAAGCGCGUCAGGUUGAUGAGUGGUGAAACUUGUUGGCUGCGUUCUGAUUCGCUACCCUUCUCAACAAAGUAUGUACUCCUUCACUCUAAUGGAUUGGACUGUUCAGUCAAACUGUUGAAAAGCCAUCACUUGCCCGGUAGUCAGCCCUGCACCUUUAGACUAAUGUCCCAAGUAUAUAUUCAUUGAACGCGGGUCACCUGUUUAUGUACUGUUGUUUCCUCACUGUGUAUGCACAUGUACUAUAUUCUUGACAUAGCUCAUCCUAAUAUACCUAGUACUGUACAUAGGGGAGAGUGGGGUAAGUUUUUUUAUUUUUUUUUAUUUUUUACAUACACCAUUUUUACAUUCAGCAUCAUUCCAUCAAGGAAAACAAAGAUUUCUACAUAUAUUUCAAGGUGUUGUGUAUCCAUGGAAAUAAUCCGAAUUCAUAUAAACAUUAGUUUUGAAAACAGCUUGGCCCAAACAAAUUGUCUCUUGGCACAACUUAUUUUACAAAAAAUGUAUGUACUAAAUUAAAUACUUCCUUUUUAAAACCAUGUCUAUCUUUAUUUCCCAAACACAAUUCAACACAAUUACAAUUUAUAUUUUUUGUAUUUUAAGCAUCUUUUAACAGAGGCUUAACAGCUACAAUAACACAAACGUUACACAGGCCAGGCCCUGUUGUUACCUCCUAUCCCAGUGAUAAUGUAUUGCAUUACACCUGGGAAGAAAACCCUUUUAACUCAACUUGUCGUUGGCUCGACCAUUGUCUCAACUUACCCCAAGGAAAACAUUUUGCUACAUUAGCCACACAGUUACAAGGAUGCACU